rnacentral:rRNA from 1 species
GACGAACGCUGGCGGCGUGCUUAACACAUGCCAGUCGAACGGGCCUGUCUUCUUUUUUGGGGGGUGGGUUGAGUGGCGAACGGGUGAGUAUCACGUGAGUAACCUGCCCUUCGGUCCUGGAUAACCGCUUGAAAGGGCGGCUAAUACGGGGUGGUCCGGUUGGUCCGCAUGGGCUGGUCGGGAUAGAUUCACUGUUUUUGGUGUUUCGGCGGGGGAUGGGCUCGCGGCCUAUCAGCUUGUUGGUGGGGUGAUGGCCUACCAAGGCGGUGACGGGUAGCCGGCGUGAGGGGGUGGGCCGCCAGACUGGGACUGGGAUACGGCCCAGACUGCUGCGGGAGGCAGCCGUGGGGGGUAUGGCACAAUGGGCGGAAGCCUGAUGCAGCGACGUCGCGUGAGGGAUGGAGGCCUUCGGGUUGUGAACCUCUGUUUCCGGUGGUGAAGGCCCUGUCCGUGUGGUGGGGUUGACGGUAGCCGGGGAUGAAGCGCCGGCUAACUACGUG